rnacentral:rRNA from 1 species
UACAGGGGGUGCAAACGUUGCUCGGAAUUAUUGGGCGUAAAGCGCGCGUAGGCGGCUACCUAAGUCGGAUGUGAAAGCCCCUGGCUUAACCGGGGAAGUGCACCCGAAACUGGGUAGCUAGAGUGCAAAAGAGGGUCGCGGAAUUCCCAGUGUAGAGGUGAAAUUCGUAGAUAUUGGGAGGAACACCGGUGGCGAAGGCGGCGACCUGGGUUGACACUGACGCUGAGGCGCGAAAGCGUGGGGAGCGAACGGG